AUUGAACGCUGGCGGCAGGCCUAACACAUGCAAGUCGAGCGAGCGGCGGACGGGUGAGUAAUGUAUGGGGACUGCCCGAUAGAGGGGGAUAACUACUGGAAACGGUGGCUAAUACCGCAUACUGUUGGCAAACCCAGCUGGGAUUAGCUAGUAGGUAAGGUAAUGGCUUCCCUAGGCGACGAUCCCUAGCUGGACUGAGAGGAUGAUCAGCCACACUGGGACUGGGACACGGCCCAAACUCCUACGGAGGCAGCAUUGGGGAAUAUUGCACAAUGGGCGCAAGCCUGAUGCAGCCAUGCCGCGUGUAUGAAGAAGGCCCGAGGGUUGUAAAGUACUUUCAGUCGGGAGGCGUUACCGACAGAAGAAGCACCGGCUAACUCCGUGUCAGCAGCCGCGGUAAUAC
rnacentral:rRNA from 1 species